rnacentral:tRNA from 1 species
GCGGUUAUAGCUCAGUGGUUUAGCAUGUGCCUAGCAUGCACAAGUUCCCGGGUUCAAUACCCAGUACCUCCA